AAAAAUGUUUGAUCUAGCAGACUAUGAUUAUGGUUAGGGUUGGACAUGGAUAAUUGAGAACCGAGGGGACCUGGAGUAAUAUUGUGGUUGUCUUGGAUUCAUUAAAAUUUGUUAAUGUCUGUGCUAAAUUUUGAUGCUGAGCUGCACGAAAGCACCAUCAUUAGGAAAUGUGUGUAUGUGAUGCACAGCUCCAUCUCCGCCCCCGGAGCCACAUUGUGGGCGCUUGGCAGCUCGGCAGGGGUCUGAUAGGCGGCGUUCCAUGUCUGUGAGGCCGUUCACGCCGCCCGCUCCCCACCAAAUUCGCUUAACACGAACAGAGAACGACCAAUAUUGUGCAUGCUACAUUUAACAGCACACAUGUCGAAUGACUAAGCACGAAAUGGUGCAAGGAUCAAGUUUGCGAGUUGCGGACACUACUCAGCAGAGAUCAAAAGAGAAUCAAAAUUGCAAAC